rnacentral:rRNA from 1 species
UACGUAGGGUGCGAGCGUUAAUCGGAAUUACUGGGCGUAAAGGGUACGCAGGCGGUUAAUUAAGUUAGAUGUGAAAUCCCCGCGCUUAACGUGGGAACUGCAUUUAAAACUGGUUGACUGGAGUCUUGUAGAGGGGGGUAGAAUUCCACGUGUAGCGGUGAAAUGCGUAGAGAUGUGGAGGAAUACCGGUGGCGAAGGCGGCCCCCUGGACAAAGACUGACGCUCAAGUACGAAAGCGUGGGGAGCAAACAGG